AUCAUGGCUCGAGGACGAACGCUGGCGGCGUGCUUAACACAUGCAAGUCGAACGAUGAAGUUCCUUCGGGAACGGAUUUAGCGGCGGACGGGUGAGUAACACGUGGGCAACCUGCCUCAUAGAGGGGAAUAGCCUUCCGAAAGGGAGAUUAAUACCGCAUAAGAUUGUAGUACCGCAUGGUACAGCAAUUAAAGGAGCAAUCCGCUAUGAGAUGGGCCCGCGGCGCAUUAGCUAGUUGGUGAGGUAACGGCUCACCAAGGCGACGAUGCGUAGCCGACCUGAGAGGGUGAUCGGCCACAUUGGGACUGAGACACGGCCCAGACUCCUACGGGAGGCAGCAGUGGGGAAUAUUGCACAAUGGGGGAAACCCUGAUGCAGCAACGCCGCGUGAGUGAUGACGGCCUUCGGGUUGUAAAGCUCUGUCUUCAGGGACGAUAAUGACGGUACCUGAGGAGGAAGCCACGGCUAACUACGUG
rnacentral:rRNA from 1 species